CCUACGGGAGGCAGCAGUGGGGAAUAUUGGACAAUGGGGGGAACCCUGAUCCAGCGAAGCAGCGUGAGUGAAGAAGUAUUUCGGUAUGUAAAGCUCUAUCAGCAGGGAAGAAAAUGACGGUACCUGACUAAGAAGCCACGGCUAACUACGUGCCAGCAGCCGCGGUAAUACGUAGGGGGCAAGCGUUAUCCGGAUUUACUGGGUGUAAAGGGAGCGUAGACGGUGCAGCAAGUCUGAUGUGAAAUGUCGGGGCCCAACCCCGGGAGUGCAUUGAGAACUGUUGAACUGGAGUACAGGAAAGGUAAGCGGAAUUCGUAGUGUAGCGGUGAAAUGCGUAGAUAUUAGGAGGAACACCAGUUGCGAAGGCAGCCUGCUGGACUGUAACUGACGUUGAGGCUCGAAAGCGUGGGUAGCAAACAGGAUUAGAUACCCUUGUAGUC
rnacentral:rRNA from 1 species